rnacentral:tRNA from 1 species
GUUCUUCUAGUAUAAAUAGUACAAUUGACUUCCAAUCAAUAAGAUUGGCCAACUCCUUUCAAAGCCAAGAAAAACA